GUGGAUGCCUAGGCUUCUAGAGGCGAUGAAGGACGUGAUAAGCUGCGAUAAGCUUCGGGUAGGUGCACAUAACCUUUGAUCCGGAGAUUUCCGAAUGGGACAACCCGGCUGGUUGAAGACCAGUCACUCGAAAGAGGGCAAACCCAGGGAACUGAAACAUCUAAGUACCUGGAGGAAGAGAAAACAAUAGUGAUUUCCGUAGUAGCGGCGAGCGAAGUGGAAAUAGCCCAAACCAAUUUUGUUUCGGCAAGAUUGGGGUUGUAGGACCACGACAUAUUUUGCACGUUGAAGUAGAACACUCUGGAAAGUGUGAUCAUAGAGGGUGAUAAUCCCGUAUACGUAAGAUUGUGUUAAGAUUAGUGGUAUCCUGAGUAGGGCGGGACAUGUGAAAUCCUGUCUGAAUCUGCCAGAACCAUCUGGUAAGGCUAAAUACUCCUAGAAGACCGAUAGCGAACUAGUACCGUGAGGGAAAGGUGAAAAGUACCCUAAAUAAGGGAGUGAAAUAGUACCUGAAACCGUAUGCUUACAAGCGGUCGGAGCCUCCUUGAGGGGUGACGGCGUGCCUUUUGCAUAAUGAUCCUACGAGUUACUCUUUACUGGCAAGGUUAAGGUGUUCAGCACCGGAUCCGAAGCGAAAGCGAGUCUGAAUAGGGCGUGCAGUCAGUAGAGGUAGACGCGAAACCCAGUGAUCUACCCAUGGCCAGGUUGAAGCUCUGGUAACACAGAGUGGAGGACCGAACCCGUUGACGUUGAAAAGUCUUGGGAUGAGCUGUGGGUAGGGGUGAAAGGCUAAUCAAACUGGGAAAUAGCUCGUUCUCCCCGAAAUGCAUUUAGGUGCAGCCUCGGGAGAUGUGUUGUAGAGGUAGAGCUACUGGUUGGAUGCGGGGGUUUCAUCGCCUACCAAAUCCUGUCAAACUCCGAAUGCUACAACAUUAUCCCGGGAGUGAGGGCAUGGGUGCUAAGGUCCAUGUCCGAGAGGGAAAGAACCCAGACCAUCUGCUAAGGUCCCCAAAUGUAUGCUAAGUUGAUCAAACGUGGUCAGAUUGCUUUGACAGCUAGGAUGUUGGCUUGGAAGCAGCCAUUCAUUUAAAGAGUGCGUAACAGCUCACUAGUCGAGCGAUCUGGCGUGGAUAAUAAUCGGGCAUUAAGCAUACUACCGAAGCAAUGGCAAUAUUUAUAUUGGGUAGGGGAGCAUUCUAGUUGCGCCGAAGGUGAACUGUGAGGUUUGCUGGAGCGGCUAGAAAAGAAAAUGUAGGAAUGAGUAACGAUAAAGGGGGCGAGAAACCCCCUCACCGAUAGACUAAGGUUUCCUGAGCAACGCUAAUCGGCUCAGGGUUAGUCGGGACCUAAGGCGAACCCGAACGGGGUAGUCGAUGGACAACGGGUUAAUAUUCCCGUACUUGCUUAUGUUGCGAUGGGGUGACGGAGUAGUGAAAGUACCGCGUACUGACGGAAAUGUACGUUGAAGGGUGUAGGUAUUAGGACUGUAGGCAAAUCCGCAGAUCUAGCUAAAACCUGAUAGUACCACAAAGCUUCGGCAGCGUGGAUAGUGUACCUAAUCAGACUUCCAAGAAAAACCUCUAAGCUUCAGACAUAAGCAACCCGUACCGCAAACCGACACAGGUAGUCAAGGAGAGAAUCCUAAGGUGCUCGAGUGAAUCAUGGCUAAGGAACUAGGCAAAAUCGACCUGUAACUUCGGGAGAAAGGUCGCUCCCCUCCGGGGGAGCCGCAGUGAAAAGGCCCAGGCGACUGUUUAUCAAAAACACAGGACUCUGCAAAAUCGAAAGAUGAAGUAUAGGGUCUGACACCUGCCCGGUGCUGGAAGGUUAAGAGGAGAUGUUAUCUUCGGAGAAGCAUUGAAUUGAAGCCCCAGUAAACGGCGGCCGUAACAAUAACGGUCCUAAGGUAGCGAAAUUCCUUGUCGGGUAAGUUCCGACCUGCACGAAUGGCGUAACGACUUCCCCGCUGUCUCCAACAUAGACUCAGCGAAAUUGAAUUCCCCGUGAAGAUGCGGGGUUCCUGCGGCUAGACGGAAAGACCCCGUGCACCUUUACUACAGCUUCACAGUGGUGUUAGUGACGGCAUGUGUAGGAUAGGUGGUAGGCUUUGAAACUUGGGCGCCAGCUCAGGUGGAGCCACCCUUGAAAUACCACCCUUAUCUUCAUUGACAUCUAACCGCGGCCCGUUAUCCGGGUCCGGGACCCUGUGUGGUGGGUAGUUUGACUGGGGCGGUCUCCUCCCAAA
rnacentral:rRNA from 12 species